rnacentral:rRNA from 1 species
CCUACGGGAGGCAGCAGUGAGGAAUAUUGGUCAAUGGACGAGAGUCUGAACCAGCCAUGCAGCGUGAAGGAUGACUGCCCUAUGGGUUGUAAACUCCUUUUAUCUGGGCAUAAAUUGUUCUACGUGCGGGAUUUGGUAUGUCCCACAUGAAUCAGGCACGCCUAAUUCUGUGCCAGCUGCCGCGGUAAUACGGAGGUUCCGGGCGUUAUCCGGAUUUAUUGGGUUGAAUGGGAGCGUAGGUGGAUUUGUAAGCCAGUGGUGAAAGUUUGCGGCGCAACCGUAAAAUUGCAGUUGAGACUGGGAAUCUAGAGUACAGUAGAGGUGAGCGGAAUACGGGGUGUAGAGGUGAAAUGCUUAGAUAUCAGGAAGAACUCCGAUGGCGAAGGCAGUUAACUGGAC